AUGAUGGAUGGGGAUGGAGUCCCCCGAUAACCGCCUCGUCUUCGAGGCUGAUGGCUCCUACCGCACG
rnacentral:ncRNA from 2 species